rnacentral:lncRNA from 1 species
GUCCAAAGGUACCCCAACGCUGAGCUGACUGUAAACGGUCCACAGGGACAGAGGUGAAGGGCGGAGUUGACCCCGGAAGGGCGGUGUUAAAGCCAGCCGAGGAAAUUAAAGGAAGGCCGGAGGGGAGGGGAGGGGAGGGGAGGAGAGGCCAAGCCUGGGAAGGCGGAAGGGCGCUCCUCGCCGCCGGGGAUGCGGGGGAUGCGGGGGAUGCGCUGCUUCUCCAGGUGAGGGGGCGCAGAGCCCUCCCACACCUCCCACUCCCCAGCCCCAGAGCAAACUGUGGCCCUCAGAGAGCUCUGCGCACCCCAGCCUGGCUUCCCCACGGUCCCACACUCUCUCGGGACCCUGUGCUUUUACUUCUGCCCUGAUUGCUCCGCUGGACUCCUGGUGGUGGGAUUCAGGGCAGGCUCGGUGAGUGUGCGACCCGGGCAGCUGUACGAGGCUGUGUGCACAGAGGAGCCGGUACUUGGAAUGCUCUGCUGUCGCUGAUCUGAAACCCGCGAUCCUUUCUCAUCAGGAGGGGCUGUGCUUUCUCUUGCACUGUGUUCUCACCAGAUUUCACAUCUUGUCCUAACGGAACUUAGGAUCUGCCUCCUCUUGCUAGACGUUUGUAUUAGUUUCCUGAGGGUGGUGUCACAGAUUUCCAGAAACUGGAAGCUUAAAGCAAUGCACGCUUCUUACCUUACAGUUCUGGGGGCCGAAGUCUAGAACAGGACGGGGCUGCCUGUCUCCUGGAAGCGAGGGGAGGGGCUCUGGGCCGCUGGCAUCCUGGGCCCCUGGCCCUCCCUCCGGGAGCAACUCCUCAGGUCUCUGAUCCCUGCCUCCCUCCCCACUUUCUCCUGCUGGCCUUCCUGCCUCCCUCGGGGAAGGGCUGCGUUGAUAUGGGCCCCGAGGGGGUAAUGCGGAGUAAUUAUCUCAUCUCUCAACCCCCAUGUAAUCCUGCCUGCCAAGUCCCCUGCGCCCCUGAAGUAACUACGGUCCGCACAGUUCCCGGGACGGGAUGUGGCAUGUUUGGAGGACCCUGGUAGCCGGGAGGAUGUGGCCUCAUCUGUUCACCAGCACACCCCCUGGCACGGCACGGUGCCCUGCAUACAGGAGGCGCUCAAUAAUUGCUGGCCGAGUAACCGGAUGACAUGAGCCUGGUGUCAGGAAGGGAGCGCCCCCCGGAGACCCGGAGCCAGUGUGGCCCGCGCUGCUGGGCCGGGCCGCUCAGAUCACCUGGUCCGCGGCACGGCCCGGGCCGGAGCACAAAACCGCGCCCUUUGCCCGGUGCCCUGCGGCUCCGCCCAGAGAAAGCAGGCGGGAGACGGGUCCUGCAGCGCGGCUGGGCUGGACAGGGACGUGGCCCGGCUGCCACCAGCGGGGACUCAGAAGUUCACGCGGACCUCUGAGAGCUACACUAGCCCGGGAAAGGCAUGCGAAAUUGGGCCAUUUCUGUGAAAAUGAAGCCGCACGUGCCGAGAAGGGCCCUGAAGAGCGGAGAAGGCAAAGCGCUGACUGUCACCUCCUGCGGGAACUCGUGGGGGCGGGCAGGGCCCGGGAGGUUGGAGGGAAGGCAGAUGAGAGCUUUUCUUCCGCUCACCUCUCUGCCGAUGGGCAUGUUGUCAGGGACGUGUACUGCCUCUGUAGCUCGAAAGGAGAAAUCCAAUAAAGCAUAUUUUUAGAAAUGUGCUGAGAGAGACGCUGUCCUAAGAGCCUUGUGGAGCGUGUUCUCUGUGCUCUGUGAGCACCGUGGGGCAGGUGCUUUUAUCACGUAUUUCCCCCACGAGGCCGGGGGGGAUCAGAGCGGUUGAGUGAUUUGCCCACGGAGAAACAGCUUGUAGCUGUCAUAGCUGGUGCCUGGGCACAGAGAAGAGCAAGGGUUAUGUCACAUGGGCCAGUUACUGUGCCGGGAGCAGGUGAUGUGGCCCUGGCUGUCUUGGGGUGGGAGCCCCUCCACCUGCUGUGUCUGCCAGGCUAGGCUGCCGCUCCCCACAGAGGAAGGGGGGGGAUGCCCCGUAUUUAUGUCUGGUUGCGAUUUCAGUUUCUCAGCUUCCCACUGAAUAUAGCGUCUCCUAGCAGAGAUGGAUGUUUAUGAGGCCAGGAGGAAAAAGCCACAGGGCACCACGGCCCAUGCCUCGCCUCUCCUCCCGAGAGGGCCUCUCAGACGUGGCUUGGCCAGACUCCGUGAGCUCAGCAGCCACUGCUUCCUCUGUGUUCAGCCCCAACACCAACCUGGGGGCCUGGUUGCAGGGCUGGCCAGGGAGAGCCAGGCCACCUGGGGCAGGACAGUGAGAGGCUCAGCUCUGGUGACCUCUGUCUG